UACCAGCACCCCGAGUGGUCGGGACGUUUAUUGGGCCUAAAGCAUCCGUAGCCGGUUCUACAAGUCUUCCGUUAAAUCCACCUGCUUAACAGAUGGGCUGCGGAAGAUACUAUGGAGCUAGGAGGCGGGAGAGGCAAGCGGUACUCGAUGAGUAGGGGUAAAAUCCGUUGAUCCAUUGAAGACCACCAGUGGCGAAGGCGGCUUGCCAGAACGCGCUCGACGGUGAGGGAUGAAAGCUGGGGGAGCAAACCGG
rnacentral:rRNA from 1 species